CAAUAGCGUAUAUUUAAGUUGCUGCAGUUAAAAAGCUCGUAGUUGGAUUUCGGGUGGGAAUGGCCGGUCCGCCGUUUCGGUGUGCACUUGCUACGCCCACCUUGCUGCCGGGGACGUGCUCUUGAGUUCACGCUCGGGACACGGAGUCGGCGAGGUUACUUUGAGUAAAUUGGAGUGUUCAAAGCAGGCCUACGCUCUGAAUACAUUAGCAUGGAAUAACACGAUAGGACUCUGGCCUAUCUUGUUGGUCUGUAGGACCGGAGUAAUGAUUAAGAGGGACAGUCGGGGGCAUUCGUAUUUCAUUGUCAGAGGUGAAAUUCUUGGAUUUAUGAAAGACGAACUACUGCGAAAGCAUUUGCCAAGGAUGUUUUCAUUAA
rnacentral:rRNA from 1 species